rnacentral:tRNA from 1 species
ACCUGGGUGGCUCAGUUGAUUGAGCAUCUGACUUUGGCUCAGGUCAUGAUCUCAUGGUUCGUGGGUUCAAGCCCCAUGUCAGGCU